UCAGGUUUCUUUUUCUUCACUCCUUUCUCUUCAGAUCUCCUUGUUCCUUUUGAGUCCUUAGUAUCACUGAAACUCACAAUAUUGGUAUAAAAGUGUCCGACCUAACAAUAUCGGUAUUGUCAGUUGAGUUAGGGCUUACGGGCUUUUUUUUUUUUGUUCUUGCAAAUAUGAUGAAUGAGAAAAAAAUGUUUAACUUGAAAGAGUUUUUUUGUUUAUUUUAUAAAGGGUUACUAUUAUUUGAAGGUGUGAUUUAUAAAGUAUGAAAAUUUAUGGGUUUGAAAUGAAUCUAUUGUAGGUGGUCACAUUAACCCAGCAGUGACAUUUGGGCUAUUUUUGGCUCGUAAGGUGUCUUUGAUCAGAGCAAUUAUGUACAUGGUGGCUCAGUGUUUAGGAGCUAUUGCUGGAGUUGGGUUGGUUAAGGCUUUUCAAAGUGCUUACUUUGAUAGAUAUGGUGGUGGUGCUAAUUUUCUCCAUGAUGGUUACAGUACUGGUGUUGGAUUAGGUGCUGAGAUUGUUGGUACCUUUGUUUUGGUUUACACCGUUUUCUCUGCCACUGAUCCUAAGAGAAGUGCUAGAGAUUCACAUGUGCCGGUAUGUUUUCAUUUUUUUUAUUUUUUAUUUUUAUUUUGCCUUUUCUUGUUGUCAUGUUUUCAAAGUGCAUGUAUGAAUAAUAAUGUAUGAACUGUGUAGAAUAUUCAAUAUAAUAUAAUAUAACAUGUGAUUUAGUUGCCUGAGGUAUGUUCAAAAUACUGAUUAAAGGGAAUGUAUAUGUGACUAAAUGUGGAAGGAGAAAUAAAAUAUUUACAAAUUGCUAGUGGCUAUGACAUGAAUUUUCCUAAAUUAGCAAGUUUGAUCUACUUUUCUUUUAAAAUACUUUUGUUGAUAUUGCAAUCUCCUAGUUUUUGGCAUGUUUUAAAGAAUCAUUUUUUUUAAUGAGUUUAAAGAAUCAAUUUAAACAAGAAAUAAAUUAAAGCUCAAUUAUUAAUUACAAAAUCAAAUAAUCUAUUGAUAUGCUAUAUAUACACACCUACAAAAAAAAUAAUCUAUUGAGAUUCCUUAAAUUAUUUAUUUUCUAAAGUGGGAAAUAUCCCUAGAGGAACCAAAUAUUUUUUUUAAUGUAAUACUAAUAAUUAAUUUUGAAGAUAAUGAUCUUAAAUUGGUAGUAGUAUAUAUGUUUAUAUUAACAACUUAGCUCAGUCCACCACCAAAAAAAAAACAAGUUUGAACUGGUUUGUUUUUUGGUGCGGUUCUGCUUUGGUUGUUUUUUAAGAUAUAAAAUAAUUAGUUUUCAAGACAAUGAUCUCAAAUUGCUUCUGAGCAAAGAAAAUAAAAUAGUGCGUUUCAUUUCAAUAGUAGUAAUUACCAAAUAUAAUAAGGGUAAUGUUCAAUGUUCAUGAAUUUUUACCUACUUUUUUGCUUGGCUUCUUUAGUCAACAUCUUGGAUAGUAAGUUUUCCAAAAUAUAAAUGCCAUCAUUAAUUUCUCAGUGCUUACUUGCAUCUUUUGGGUUCACCUAAACAUGCUAGGGUGGUAAAGCUAUCUUUUUCCUUUCCUUCACCAUAAUUUCCCAAUGAAAUGAUGUUGUUAAUGACACACAACAGCAGCGUGCCUUUGUGGUAUAUAUGGGGGUCCCCAUCAUACCUUAUAUGAGUUGUUUGUGGAGGUGGUUGAAUUUCAUGGCCAUACUUGUAAAAAGUGGAUUCUAAUUUGUUCCUUGAAAACAAAAUUUAUGUGUGUUAAGUUCGAGAUUAAAGUCUUCAUAGUUAAUUG
rnacentral:lncRNA from 1 species